rnacentral:lncRNA from 1 species
UUUUUUUUUUUUUUUUUUUGUGCAUGAGUUAUCGCAACUGGUUUGUUCUACUGUAGUGUUAUUCUCUCCUUUUAGCUCUUUGUUUCUUCUCAAGUUUUUGUUUAACUCUUUCUUUCUUCUCUCAAAUUUCGUAGCUUGGUAAGUGGGAUAUUCAGCAUCCAAAGUUCUCGAUUUCUCUACAUUCAUCAAAACACCGUUUAUAAAACAGGGUUUAACACAGGUUUAAAGUUUUAUUUCUUCUUUGGGUUUUGGCAAGCGAUAUCCUGUUAAAAAAAUUGAUUCCAAUUGGAUCCCAGAAAAGAAUUAGUACUUAUUUUGGAGUUUCAUCUUGAUUAUAGUGGUUCUUGUGCUUCCCUUGCCUUCUGAAAAUAAAUGACCGGAUCCAUAGCAACCUCUAGCAUGUUGGAUUUGGGCAUAAGUUUGGUGGUUUUUUAGUGCUUUUCAGUAUUCGCAUUUGGUUGGACAUGUAUAUAAUGGUACAUGCAAAUAAGACUCCUACGUGAAUUGUCAAAAUAGCAGUAAAUUCAAUGUUGAUGUUAUUGUGAAUGGUUGCAUAAUUUGGAUGUGUAAACUUAUACGAAUUCUGUAAGCAUGAAACUGUUGUGUAUUGUUAUACAGAGCUAAAAUUAAUUCAGAUUGUUGAAGGUAUUAGUGGGAGUUCAGCAAUAGCGGAUUCUGGGGAAUGUCAGGAAACAAAGACAAUAAACUGCUUCAGCGAUUAUAUUAACAAAAUUUGUUCAAUUCUGAUGCAUCAUACAUGAUGAGCUAAAGGAAGUGUGUUAUGGAUGUUAGUCACAGCAUGAGCCAUUAACUCAGCUAAUAACUCCAUCCUGCAGAGCCAUGGGCAGACAUCCUACGUAGUGGUGAGGUUUAUCACUUCAUUUUCACAGAAUGAGGCUACCUUUUAACAGGAUGGGACGCUGUUGUUGCAUAUUUACUCGUCCUCUUUUCUUUCUAAUCCUCCUGGUAAUUUCUGCAGCAUUUUCCUUUUUUGUUUUUUGGCUGAUGCCUAAACAAUUGUGUUUAGUUUUGACUGAAAAUCUCAAUCCAGGGAAUAGCAUGUUACAUGGUCAUGGAGGUCUGUUUGAAGAUCAAUCAAGUUGAGCAUAUCAUAGUUUUGCAAGCAGAUGAAGCUCGCAACAAAACUAUUAGAGAUGUUGAAAACGCCACAAGCAUGCUUCAUCCGUUGAAUUCUUCUGCCUUGAAUCUAGCUACGGUGCUCAGUGCAAAACUAAAUGGAACGGACUUAACAUUUCCUAUUAUCCAAGCAAAUGUUAGCAAGAAUAAAUUUUUUUUUUGUUUAAAUUUGAUACAAUUUUCUUAGUUGUUUUUACAGGUUUCUUUCUUUUCAUUCAAUUCGCUUAGAUUGCGCCGUCACUAUUUCAAGCACUUACAACAAUCCCGCGGGUAACAGAGGUGGAAUUCAUGGGGUUGGACAGAUGGGAGUUCUCCUAUUACCGCAAUGAUGAGCAAACAUUUGCAUUUUUCUCGAACUCUUCAGCUCCUUCAACAUCAUAUACUCAGCCUGUGAACCGUGACACUGGAAAGCUGUUUGGUGAAGCAGUUGAGUCUAACUAUACUAUUGCAUUUAACUCAACGAGAUUUGUAGAAGGCCCACGAGGGAUACUACCAUAUCCUUCACUAGAGACGGGGAAGAAUCAGGAUCUCCUUUUCAAAAGCAAUGUUCCAAUGGUUGGAAUGGGGCUCAUUUCAAUAGGUUUUCCAGCAGAUGAAGUUAAAAAUCAGUUUUCUCAUCUAGAUUUUCAUGGCAGUCACUUGCACCUAGCUUCGAAUGAUGGCCAAGUACUUUUUGAGAAAGAGCUUGCUGAUACUCAAAUUUUUGUGUACAACGGAACAUAUUCACUGAAGUUGAAGAAACAAAAUGGUGCUUACGAAGAUGUAGUCAGUAAUGUUUCUUGCAAGUUGGAGGAUGAUGCUGAUCUAGAGCAUUUGGAUGUGAAGAUCAAUGAAAAGAAGCACAAAUUUUAUUGCUCAACUGUUGACAUUGCAGGAAUUGAUUCAGUAAGUCCUUAAUAAUGCUAAAUCCGUGAAAAAUACUGUAGGAUUCUUUAGAAAUUGACUAAUUCUAACAACUAAGCAUGAAGUUAGCACAUACAUUGCUCACAACACCAUUGGGUAUUUAAGCAUCUUACCGUAUUUAUUGCAUCCACUUUUUCUUGAAUUGCAAAGUCACAGUCAUAUGAUCGAUGCAUACGUGACUGAUUAGAUCAUGGAAAGAACUAUAGCUAAAAAUGACAAAAGAAGUCGAAGCAACGCCAUUGACUACAAGUGCUCAUGCUAAUUGCAGACUUCUAAUUGCUCAUACAAGUUUUAGUUCAACAAUGAAUAAAUAGUGACUAAUAAGAGCGUUUUGCUUCAUGUUACAAAAUAGGAUGUCUACCCUUUUUAGGUUCAUGCAAUUUUACAGAAUUUGAAAUGUCUCCCUAAUGCUUAUUCUUGAUGUUGUUUACCUUUAUAUAUGAAAUACAACUAUCCUGCAGUAUGCUUAUCUGAAUUAAUCAUGUGAGAAUUUUUUUCAUUUUACCAGAAACCAAAUUCUGAUGAGAUCUAAUAGGCAGUCCCCUGAUUAUCUAAAACCAAUAUUGUCCGAAAGAACUGGAUGAAUUACUCUGCUUAACAGAAUGAUAUAAUAGCCUUACACUCAGUAUGUCUAUCUUUUUUAGUAGUUUUAUAUCCAUGAUUGCAGACCAUCAUAGGGAUUCGUCGUCCUUAACCGUCAGCCUAUCAUCCUGGCAUACUUGAUUGGAGCAUAAACACUUUAUACGACAUUGGAAAUGCCUUUUGCUUUUAACUACUAAUAGUAACAAGUUGAACUAAAUCAACUGGAUAAUCAAAUGUGUCUUAAUUUGUAUUUUAGGUAUAUGUAUUGGCUUUUCCGGAAGAUGGAAACGAAGCUGCUGCCCAUAAAAGCAGCAUGCUAGCCAUCAUGCUUCUUGUUCUUACGCUUGUGGGAUCAGUUGUCUCGCUUUGCCUCUUCAUUUUUUUGAUCCUGAAAGCUGCACGAAGAGAGAUAGUUUUGUGCGAUGCACUCGUAAAACAAAAAGAAUCAACUCAACAAGCUGAGCGCAAAAGCAUGAGCAAGACGAAUGCCUUUGCUACAUAUAGUCAUGAUCUACGUGCUUCCUUGACAGCUAUAACUUGCUUGAUAGAGCUUUGUCGUGAAGAUGUCGUCCCAAAUUCUCAGUUGGCAGCCAACUUGUCACAACUAGAUACAUAUGUACACGAUCUAUUAGGUAACCAUUCUGUUUUUCAAUUCAUAAUGGACUAAUCAAGUUAGAAGUCUAGAGAAGUUGAAGUGAAUAUUGAUAAUAUGUUGGGGCUGGAUGAGUACUCAUUCAAUUUCUGGUUCACUUCACUCUAGCCUGCAAGAUAUUUGUUUCUCAUAAAUGUGGACAUGCAUUUUCUCAAUUUCUUUCAACAUGUAUGCAGUCAUAAUUUCUCUUUGUCCUUUGGCAAUUGUUGUAGGUCUACUAAAUACAGUUCUUGAUAAAAGUAAAACUGAAGCUGGUAAGACAGAACUUGUAGAAGAAGAGUUUAACCUGGAACAGGUCCUUGAAGACGUUGUUGAUAUGUACUAUCCUGUUGGCGUUAAGAAAGGGAUAGAUGUCAUAUUUGACCAAUGUGAUUUCUCAAUUAUAAAGUUUCGCCAUGUCAGGGGUGAUAGAAGAAGGCUCAAAGAGAUACUAGAGAAUUUGCUAAGUAAUGCUAUAAAGUUUACGACAGAAGGCCAUGUUGUUGUUCGCUGUAUAGCAAGGAAAACAAGUAAAGAGAAUGCUAUAAUUGCUUCUAACCGCAGAAGCACAUUAAAUUGUCUCUCAAGGUUGUGUUACAAGAACAGUGGAAGCCUACAUUCGCUUGAUGACAUCCAUACAGUUCAUGAAAAUCCUAAUUGUAUGGAAUUCGUGUUCGAGGUGGAUGACACGGGCUGUGGGAUUCCAAAGGAGAGGCGAAAAUCUGUGUUUGAAAACUAUGUUCAGAUUACAGUCGCUGCUGCUGGACAACAAGGAUGGGGUCUAGGACUCGGCAUCGUUCAGUCUUUGGUAAGAAAUUGCAUUGGCUGUCUUUACUUCAUCAUUUAGUUUAGUAGCUGUUUCAUCAACUGAAUCAUCAAAUUAGAAAAAUAAAAAUAUUGUCAUGGGAUGAUCCUUGUGCCGUCUUUAUUCUUAGAAAUUAUUGAGUAUAACACAGUGCUGAUGGCUUAGGUACGUUUAAUGGGGGGAGAAAUCAGAAUCGUUGACAAAGAAAAUGGAGAAAAAGGAACCUGCUUUAGGUUCAGUGUCUUUUUGACAGUAUGCAAUCCGGUGUCCACUGUCAUGGAUGAAGAUGGAAACCAUAUGCAAAAUGGAGUUUCUUCAAGUGAUCUUCUGCAUUAUUUUGAAUUACAUAUUCGCUAUCCCAAUACAAGAUUGGAGGGAUCCCAUGUCGUGCUCUUACUUGCAAGUAAAGAGCGCAGAAAGAUUUCCAAGAGAGCAAUUGAGAAUAUUGGCAUAAAAGUAACAGUUGCAGAGACAGAUAAAGAUCUAAGACGUAUUCUAUAUAAGAUAAAGGAAAAGAUGGACCAUUUCCAGCUUAAUCUGCAUGAGAAAUCCGAAUCUAGUCCGCCUGACUACCUGUCCGCGUCCAGCAAUUCUAAUUCAGGAUUGAAUGAAGGGCAUUCAGGUGCUACAGAUGGACAUGAAGCUCAUCUCCCCCAAAGAAAAAGCUUCAACUCCAAAGCUGUCCAAAAUUUUAUACUGAUCGUGAUUGAUGCGGCUAUUGGACCUUCCUUGGAAGCAAGUGCAGCUUUGUCCAGCUUUAAGAGGGAAACACGAAAUUUGCAGUGUAAGGUUGUUUACUGGGACAAUUCAAUUAUUCCUAGAAGGAAUUCAAGAGACGUGAAAGAGCAAAGGCCACUAAUUCCUUGUGACUACAUAUUAAAGAAACCCUUGCAUGGAUCAGGUUUAUAUGGCGUGCUACGACUUCUUCCUGUAUUUCAUGGUGCAUUUCCACCUGAGUCGUUGAUCGUUAAAGCUGAAGCAGUUCAAGAAAAUGAGGGCUCCUCUGAGACUACUGUACCUCCAAAUAGAUUGGUUAAAUUCUCCAGCAAUACUGAGCUUCAAAACGGCAAAAUUUCAACAGACGAAAAACAAGAACUCCAGGAGAUUGUAAUACAUGAUCCAGCUGCUGACCAAAGCUCUCCAAACCCACUCAAGGGAAAAUCUGUAUUGGUAGUAGAUGAUCUCGAGGUAUUACGUAGAGUAGCCAGCACGAGGAUUUCCAAACUCGGUGCUCGAGUGGAAGUCUGUGAGAAUGGGAAGGAGGCUUUCGACAAAGUCUGCAAGGUCCUGAAUGAUGAGAAGGAAAUUAAUCAGGAAACUCUCCCAUAUGAUUUCAUAAUAAUGGAUUGUGAGGUACUCUCAAGAUCCUACUGACUCUGAUAUUUUGACAUUUUUUUUUCUGUCACAAAUUCGGUUUUUUUUCUUUUUUUGGUUUUCAGAUAAGCUGUAACUCUCACAUUUUUUCAGGAAAAAACUUUGAACAUCAUAAAUAUUUGGGUUAAAAACAAAAAAACCUUACGUGGUAUACCUAAUACACAAAAAAGCUCUCAUGGUUUCAAAACAUACAAAACAACACCUCAUGUUUUGAAUUAAAUUGUAAACUAACAGAAUCCGGUAAACUUAACGGAAAAUUUAACGGAAUCCAGUAAAUUUACAGCUAAGACCGUCAUUUUCAUUAAUUUUAACGAAUUCUAUUAGUUUACAAUUUAGUUCAAAAUAUGAGGCGUCAUUUUGUAUGUUUUGAAAUCACAUGGGGCUUUUUAUGUAUUAGGUAUACCAUACAGGGCUUUUUUGUUUUUAACCCUAAAUAUUUUCCAUCCUCAUAGUUCAUUGAAGCUGUCUUUGAAAACUAAGUUAUUCUUGUGAUAGUGACCACAAAUGUAUAGUUCGUACUGCUAUAUGAAGCUUUUUGAUGGUCAUGCUUGGAACUUGUUUUUGUUGGUAGAUGCCAGUAAUGGAUGGAUAUGAAGCAACAAGACUUAUAAGGAAGGAAGAGAAAAUUCACGGCAUCCAUAUUCCCAUAUUUGCACUAACAGCCCAUGCUAUGCCUGAAGAACACAGAAAGAUUGUUGACGCUGGAAUGGAUUUUCAUCUGUGCAAGCCAUUCGAUGCAGACAAACUAAUGGAUGCCAUUAGAGAUAUUGAGCGCAAAUUCAAACAUUGACUGUUGAAUGGUUUAUUUAUUUAUUUGUUUGGAUUGUAUUUUUUUGGACUUUUUGUAGAAAAAUUACGAUAAUGAUUUGAUAUACGUGAGGUAAAAAGGUGAUUGAAAAAUGUGCCCACGAAAAAAUGUAGAAAUUUUUCUUUGAAAAUCUGCGAUCCAAACACACCAAAUUUUCUGGUCUUCCUCUCUAUGUCUUCGCUUGAAAAUAAAGUGGAAGUUCUUGGAGAUACUACUCAGUUUUCCGGGACUUUGUUCAUCUUUGAUUUUGGGUGAAAAAUGGAAUGUUUGUGCUGGAAGCUGAUAUGAACUCUUUUACGCCUUUUACAGGGAAAGGAAAUAGGAAGAAACCGUUUAUACACUACUAGUAAUUCCUCGCAUUUCUACUUUCAAAUCUUUUGCCAGUAAAGGAAAUAGGAACAAACGCGUAUAUAUAUCCUGGCAUUUCUACUCAAAAACUUCUAGUCCAAAGAAAUUAGAGUAAGAAACUGGAACAAAGGUUUGUGCUCAUGUUGAUUUAGGUGGUUCAAUAUUGUCUUGUUUUCACUUCGCAAGGACCUGAAAUUUUGAAGUAAAAUUCCGGCAUGAGUCUCCCAAGUGCAGGUUACAUCCCAGCUAUAGUUAGUGGAGCUGUUUCGUGUUGCUGACGGACCUAAAUCUUCAACAGGGGACGUGCUUUUUUCUUUGUUUUGGUGGGACUUCCUGGUAAUGCAACAAAUUCUCAAAGGGUCAAAGCUGCCGCAUAGCCAAUGGUUGUUGAAGGGGAUUUAGUUUUACAGCUUAGUUAACAAAUUGACGGAAUGGGGCUUUAAUUCCAAAACAUGCAAGAUCAUCCAUGUCAGACUAAUGCUGAAAUCUUCGAAAUAAAUCAAUCUCAACACCGCUAAUGUUCCAAGUCCAGGCUGUUCAUAAAUCUAAAACUAAAACAGGCAUGUUUCUCUUUUGGUUCUAAUGGCUGAGCCAGAUGAGAAUAAAGAAGUAUCGCAACACCAAGUUCAUGCAGAGCCUCCAAUAUCUUUUUUCCCUAAACAGCAAUUCUAGAGCUAAAAGCCAAAAAAAAAA